rnacentral:lncRNA from 1 species
CGCUGCCCUGGGUCCUCCUUUGCCGGGAUUGGAGUCUGGACAUCUGGGUCUCAUCCUUGUUCUGCAACGACUUCCUGCGGUCUAGAGACUGAGCCAGUUAUCAACCCUCACUUGUGCCCAGGUGAUCCUCAAGACACCACUGUGGGACAGCAAGGACAGAUGCUCUGCUCUGAAACAAACCACUUCAGUCCACCUCUUCAUCCGAGGCAGAUCCUGCUGGACUUGGCACCCUUUUGCUAGAAGAAAUGGCAUGUAACAUAUCCCAGGAGCAACUGUCACUAUGUCAACCCAGAAGCAUGGAGUCAGCGCAAUUGGAGUUCACCUGUUGACCACUGAAGGACCAUUGCCAGCUAUUGGUCAGGACAAUAACUUUUGCCUUUGCCACAGGAUCUACCCCCGGGGGAUACAUUAUAAAAU